GUCGUGUGUUAGCUCAUGAGGUUAAAAUGACAUUAGAACUUUUGUGAAAAAAUGAGGUUCGACUCUGUUCUUAUAUUAAUGAUAUUCAAGGUCAGGGAUAUGGAAAGAAAGCAGGUCACUCAAUGUUCUUUCUUGAGAAUAUUUUUGUUCCACCAAUCAAAUUCCGCCCUCCCACUAAAGGAGGUGAUAUGGUAUCGGAGCAUGCUCAUACUGUUUUGUUGAGUAAGAUUCUGCAGUCUAACAUAAGAUUAGGGGAUGUCCAUCUAAACAAGAAGGAUCCCUCGAUGGUUUUAGCCAGGUGGGUGGAACUUCAGUAAUCUGUAAAUAUGCUCUUUACCAGUAACACUUUUGGAUAAUAUUGAGGAUGAUAAUGAAGAUUAAGCUAUUUAUCAUUGUAGUUUAUUGGCUAAGAUAGAGUAGUGUUGGAAAUGGAUACAUGUAUGAUUGACUAACGACUUUUAUUAGAAGAUACUUAUGUAGGAUAUAAUAUUUUAGUUUUUCGUAGAGUAUUACUAGUAAAUUCUAAGUGGUCUCAUGCUUAUUUUGAUAUGGCUAUGCUUAAUUUAGUGUGAAAUGUAUGAAUAU